ensembl:snRNA U6 U6 spliceosomal RNA
GUGCUCACUUCGGCAGCACAUAAACUAAAAUUGGAACGAUACAGAGAAGAUUAGCAUGGCACCUGCACAAGGAUGACACGUUCCAUAUUUUU